AUACAAGAUGUAUACAGAAAAUUACAUUAAAUACCUGUCUCCAGCCUGCUUCAUGUAUUUCUGCAAUGACUAAAGAUGCAUGUUCAGUUUUGGAGGAAUCUUGGGCAACCUUCAGAAAAGAAGAGCGGCAUUGAAUUAAAUGGACUAUAAAAGGAAAUCUUUCAGCUGAAGUAUUCUGACAGCAGCAUAUUCUUGCCAACCAGGUCGUUCCAAAUGUGUAUCUGACCAUUAUUUUAAAUUAGAAGAUAUACCACUGUCAAACCAUAUCAGCCAAGAAUAAAAAGUGACAUAAUAAUGUUAAA